rnacentral:pre_miRNA from 1 species
AACAUUCAUUGUUGUCGGUGGGUUGUGAGGAGGCAGCCAGACCCACCGGGGGAUGAAUGUCA